rnacentral:rRNA from 1 species
AGUGAACGCUGGCGGUAGGCCUAACACAUGCAAGUCGAACGGCAGCACAGUAAGAGCUUGCUCUUACGGGUGGCGAGUGGCGGACGGGUGAGGAAUACAUCGGAAUCUACUUUUUCGUGGGGGAUAACGUAGGGAAACUUACGCUAAUACCGCAUACGACCUACGGGUGAAAGCAGGGGAUCUUCGGACCUUGCGCGAUUGAAUGAGCCGAUGUCGGAUUAGCUAGUUGGCGGGGUAAAGGCCCACCAAGGCGACGAUCCGUAGCUGGUCUGAGAGGAUGAUCAGCCCAACUGGAAAUGAGACACGGUCCAGACUCCUAAGGGAGGCAGCAGGGGGGAAUAUUGGACAAUGGGCGCAAGCCUGAUCCAGCCAUACCGCGUGGGUGAAGAAGGCCUUCGGGUUGUAAAGCCCUUUUGUUGGGAAAGAAAAGCAGCAGGUUAAUACCCCGCUGUUCUGACGGUACCCAAAGAAUAAGCACCGGCUAACUUCGUG